rnacentral:lncRNA from 10 species
AGUGCAGUGGCACGAUCUCUGCUCACUGCAAGCUCCGCCUCCCGGAUUCAUGCCAUUCUCCUGCCUCAGCCUCCCGAGUAGCUGGAACUACAGGCGCCCAACACCGCGCCCGGCUAAUUUUUUGUAUUUUUAGUAGAGAUGGGGUUUCACCGUAUUAGCCAGGAUGGUCUCGAUCUAAAGAAGUAAGGUAGCUUUCUAAUAUCCAACACUCACUCAUAUUUUUGAAAAGCCAGGGGAAAUAACUUUAUUUAUAUCCACUGCAUUUGGAUAUAAGUUUCAAAAUUUUUUUCAGAGCUUUCUAUUAGCCAAAGGGGUUGGGAGGGGGCGUGGCAGGGAGAAACGCAGAUUCAUUGUACACACAAAUAAAAAAGAACUUGCUCAGGGAAAGUGCAGAAAACGAAGAGUUGAUUUUAUUUCCUUCCUUCUCUUUCCUCCUCCUUCCCUCUGUCUCCUUUCCCCACAUGGCUAUAUCUUUCUUACUUCCUUUCUUUCCUGCCUAGCAUACAUGGCAGACACAGAUGAAAGCAACAAAUCUACUUCAUGAGCUACAAAGAAUGCAAAAAUGACCAGAGAAAAAUAACCUGCUUUAAUUAUUAUCAUUUUAUUACUUCCCAUUUAUGAUAGAGCUCCUUGAAUCAACUAAUUUUACUAAAUUACAAAUAUAAAAUAAACAUGUUUUAUCAUAACCAUCACAACUGAAGACAUAAUGCAUUUGUAACAGUUAAUGACUUAUCCAUGAAUUUUUCUCCUUUGGAAGCCUGAAGUGGCAAAGAAAGAUAUACUAAAUCUAGUUUCUUCUUUUUUUUUUUUUAAGUAUGGAUUCCAGCAUUGAAAGUAAUCUAGUGAAAAAUGACCUCCCUAAUUUUGCAUCAAUAGCCAAAUCUAAAUGGAAUUUGAGACAACAAAUUUAAAAAUGUCUGUUAUGCUCAAUUAUGCUCAACGUGCUGUUGAACACAUUGCUGGAGAUUACUGUGUCAUUUGUGGGCACAUGUUUCUACAGGACUUAAAUCAUUUUUGUAGAGGUGAAUAAAAUCCAGAAACUUGGAUAUUUUUAAAAAGUAUUUGUCAGCCAGGCGCGGUGGCUCAUGCCUGUAAUCUCAGCACUUUGGGAGGCCCAGGUGGGCGGAUUGCUUAAGUCCAGUAGUUCAAGACCAGCCUGGGCAACAUGGUGAAAUGCCAUCUCUGCAAUAAAAUACAAAAAUUUGCUGGGUGUGGUGGCACAAGGCUGUAGUUCCAGCUCCUCGGGAGGCUGGGGCGGGAAGAUCUCUGAGCCCAACAGGCGGAGGUUGCAGUGAGCUGAGAUCAUGCCACUGCAUUCCAGUUUGGGCAACAGAGUGAGACUCUGCCUCAAAUUAAAAAAAAAAAAAGUAUUUGUCAAACAUCAUUGAACAAAAGUUACAACAAAAGAGUUAUUAAUCAGCAAACUCCUUUAAAAUUUACACUUCCAAUGCAUUCUUCAUAUUAUAGUUACCUAUACCUUCUUCAUUUUAUAGUUAAGACAGUUUACAACAAACUUAUCUAGUGAUUGUAGACAAGAGGCUUGAGAAUAUACAUUAAGAACAAAAGGAAUGAAAACAGAGAAGGGUUUCCAAGUGAUGCAAAAAAUGAACUGUGCUAGACAAAUAUAAAUGUCCAGAUCCCACUUCAAGAAAGGAUUUGCUGCCCAGCUGCAAAGAUGGAGUUAGCUGCCAGCAACUUCAGUGUCUGCUUCAGCUGCAGAAAGCUACCUUGCUCAGGGCAGCCCACAUCAGGCCACUGAGUAAGGAGUGGGUUGAAAAGCAUGGCCACUUCUACAAGAUAUGGGAUAACUCUGACAAACAAUACGAACCCCAGAGAGACAUCUGUGGGCCAGCAUCACAGCUCUACUUCUUGCUCUCCCCAAUCCUACUUCUUCACUUCUCCUUUUAAAGGUGAUGAUCCCUGAAAAUAAUCUUAUAUUCCAAACUCAGUGUCUGUUUAUGGAAAACCUAACCUGUGACAGUGGUCCAUUUUAUAUUACUAAGUAGGAAAAGGAAGCUCUAAAAUAGUAUGUGUCAUAUAAAGUGGUCCCAGUUUUAAAAAAAUGAACAUUGACAUACACAUAGGAAAAAGUAUUAAACAAUUUUACACUAAAUUUUAACUGUAGUUAACACUGGAAGAGUAGGAUCAUGGGGAAGUUUCUCCUACUUUAUACCUUUGGAAAAGACAGAGGCAUAGUUAGAUGUAGACAACCUGAGUUUCAAUUUUCAGGUAUAGAUAUUAACUCCAUGAAUAUGUAUUCACUUGGGAUAGGUUAAAUUAUGCUGUGGUAACACACUUUCCCUAAAACAACAAACGCUUAUUUCUCAUUGGUGUUUUGGUCUAUGUUCUACAUUUCUUCAUUCUGAUAUCCUGGCUGAUAGAGAAUGUCCAUCUGCCAGUCUCAUGGCAGAAGGAACAGGUAACACAGUGAGCAUGUGCUGCCUCAUAAAACUUCUGCUCAGAAAUGCCACACAGAAUUUCCACUCAUGUAUCGGUUCCUUAAAUCAAGUUACAUGAUGUUGCCUGAAUUCAAGUAAACAGGAAUGAAUAAUCCUCCUGUAGGGAAGAGCACAGAAUACAGUCGAAAAGUAACACAAUCAACCACAGAAUUUAAACAAAUUACUCAUCACACCUAUUUCUUAAUCUGUUAAGUGCAGAUAACAGUACGAUCUCAGCUGGUGAAAAGGAAUGGAGAAUACAGCCAUCCUUUGGUAUCUGUAAGAGAUUGGUUCCAGGACCUCCCAAGAAUACCAAAAUUUGCAGAUACCCAAAUCCUUGGAUGCUCAAAUCUCUGAUAUAAAAUGGCAUAGUAUGUGCAUAUAACCUAUGCACAUCCUCCAGUAUAUUUUAAAUAAUCUCUAGAUUACUUAUAAUACCUAAUACAGUAUAAAUGCUAUGUAAAUAGUUAUACUGUAUUGUUUAAGGAAUGACAAGAAAAGAAGUAUGUACAU